AACUGAAACAUCUAAGUACCCCGAGGAAAAGAAAUCAACCGAGAUUCCCCCAGUAGCGGCGAGCGAACGGGGAGGAGCCCAGAGCCUGAAUCAGUGUGUGUGUUAGUGGAAGCGUCUGGAAAGGCGCGCGAUACAGGGUGACAGCCCCGUACACAAAAAUGCACACAUUGUGAGCUCGAUGAGUAGGGCGGGACACGUGGUAUCCUGUCUGAAUAUGGGGGGACCAUCCUCCAAGGCUAAAUACUCCUGACUGACCGAUAGUGAACCAGUACCGUGAGGGAAAGGCGAAAAGAACCCCGGCGAGGGGAGUGAAAAAGAACCUGAAACCGUGUACGUACAAGCAGUGGGAGCCUCUUAAUGGGGUGACUGCGUACCUUUUGUAUAAUGGGUCAGCGACUUAUAUUCUGUAGCAAGGUUAACCGAAUAGGGGAGCCGAAGGG
rnacentral:rRNA from 1 species